rnacentral:rRNA from 1 species
AGCGAACGCUGGCGGCAGGCCUAACACAUGCAAGUCGAACGAACCUUUCGGGGGUAGUGGCGGACGGGUGAGUAACACGUGGGAACGUGCCUUUAGGUUCGGAAUAACUCAGGGAAACUUGUGCUAAUACCGAAUGUGCCCUUCGGGGGAAAGAUUUAUCGCCUUUAGAGCGGCCCGCGUCUGAUUAGCUAGUUGGUUGAGGUAAUGGCUCACCAAGGCGACGAUCAGUAGCUGGUCUGAGAGGAUGAUCAGCCACAUUGGGACUGAGACACGGCCCAAACUCCUACGGGAGGCAGCAGUGGGGAAUCUUGCGCAAUGGGCGAAAGCCUGACGCAGCCAUGCCGCGUGAAUGAUGAAGGUCUUAGGAUUGUAAAAUUCUUUCACCGGGGACGAUAAUGACGGUACCCGGAGAAGAAGCCCCGGCUAACUUCGUG